GAGCAGGCAGAAUAUUCACCUGAGCAAAUAUUCCUCCACUAAUGAGAAGUAGCUGAGAGAUAUUUAUUUUCUUCUUCUUCCUUCCUCAUGAGAUUUAUUUAUUUACUUCUUAUUUUUUCCCCCAAAUUGACAGUCAAACCUAUCUAGAAAAAACAGCUUUUUUCUUUCUUGUUUUCCUCAUCCACUUUUGGGGUCUUGUUAGAGUCUCCACCCCACUGCAGCAUCCUUUGCUCCACCAGCUCUUUGUGCCCAAGAACCUCACCAGCUCUUUAACUCUUCUGUCUGCAAACUGGCUGCACCACAGCACAAGGAAAGCUGUGACUGCUGGGCAGGGAGCAGGGUGUCCCCAGGGUGUCCCCAGUGCCCCAGCUGCUCCGUGGGUGCCACCAUGGCUGGGAUCUCUGCUGACCUUUCCUCUGUGCACUGCAGGGUUUCUGUCUGUAGCUACUGAGUAGAUGUCAAAUCCCAGCCUGUUCCCAUGGAUACAGUAGAAUGUAGAGAGAGGAGAGCUGCCUCAUUGCUUUAUCUUCAUGUAGGGUUCUAUAUUCCUCAGAUUUUGGGUUACGGUGGCCUCUGUGGGCAGUGGCUAUAAGGGGCAGGAGGUGGCAGCAGCAAUUACCCUGUGUGUCUUUAAUUGCAAGCCAGUCUGCAAAGUGCAAAAAAGGAGAAGUCAUCACUUCCCCGUGGAUGGCAUUACAGCACACAGCAUCACCUGCAGCAUCACCUGCAGCAGAAAGUCUCAUCAGCAAGGCUCCUGUGGGGUUUGGCCCCUGUAAUUUGUGCCAAAAAGAUGGCAAGUGUGGGGCUCAGAGUCGGUAGGAGCCUUGCUUCAUGGUUGGUGGCUCUGGAAACCCUGGUGCUGUGUGUCCCCAUUCUGCUGAUGGAGCUGCUGAGAACCCACCAGAGCAGCCACCACCCUCCCUGCGUCCUGUGCAAUGUCUGGACUGGGAAUGAUGGAGGAGGAGGUUUCAGGGCCAUGUGGAAUCCCUGCUCUGUGUGCAGCCCACCCAGCCCUCCUCCUCCCUCUGCUCCAGCCAUAAUCAUCUCUCCCAGCAAUACCAUAAUACAAAUAAAUAAUAUUAAUUAAGGCUUGAUAGGUUUAAAAAGCUAUGGAAAUAGCUUCUCUCCUGCUGUUUCAGUAUCUCAUUUCCCCACUCUGUCCAAACCCCAAAAGCCCAAAGGUACAAACAUAUAUUUCAAAGGAGAAGUUUGUUGAACCUCAUUAAACUUAAAUGCUCAAUCCAGUUUUUUGGAACAAGGCUUCACUCUGCUUUUGAGUUUACCUGAUUUCAUUCUUCCAUCCCUAAUGGAGACAUUCAUUUAGAAGGUGGUUUUUGCAAAGGCACUCAUACACCUACAAACCACAACUGAGAAGAAAAGCAUAAUUUACAUUUUUAAACCAAGCAUCUGACUUUGGAGCUGUUCUAUGUUUAUAGGCUUCACGUCUGAGCAAUUUGCCGAGGUCCCUGUGAAAUAAAGACCAGCUUUUAAUUUGUAUUUGCUUUUUGUUCUCCCAGUGUUUUUUUUUUCUGAAAUGGACGAGCAGCUGAAAAGUCUCUCUGCAUUGGUAUGCUGAGCUUUGGAGUCACACAAGCACCUGCAGCCAUCCACGCACUGCUCGGCAAGAGCGCUGUAUUUCUCGAGGUUUGUAGCUCUUGUCCUCCCACUCCCUAAUUCAUAUACAUAAAACUGGUGUGCUGCCACGUUCCCUCCACACAAAUGCAUUAGCUGAUCAGGAAGCCUUCCCAUUCAUCUGGCUUGUCACUUGCAUGAGGUGGAGGCAGGACCGACUUGUCAGCUCGCGGUGAUGGGAGUGAGGGGUGGGAGACAGGAUAGCGCGACAAAAAUGGUGUAGAUAUUUCUCCCCUUGGUUUUCCAAGGGAAAAUAUUUUCAGGUGCUGGAUUGUCUCCACACCCUUCCAAACAGGAGCAAACCAGCAACCCAAAUACUUGCCUACAACCUCCUUGCGUAAUUAAUCACGGAGUGAGUCUGCAGGAGGAAAUCAUGGCUAGACCCCCUUGCUGGCUCUGCUGUAGCUCCCUGGAAAUGUGGGCAUCUUCUUGGAAUUGCAAGGCCUCAUCCCCAUCGUGUUUGGCACCAUAUCCACGGUGAUUUCCAGGGCAGCCCAUGCAGCAGAAGGAAGGUGUGCAGAACCCACCCAAGAAAGAGCGGUGAAGGUGCAGAGCUUUGCGCCUCUGGACUGGGCAAGACCUCCCUGCUCUCCAGACAGACUGCAGGGUUGAGAGCCAACCUGGCUCACAUUCACACCUUCACGCCCUGUGAAUUCCACAGCAUGGCAGAAUAAUUUGGGUUGGAAGAGAACUUAAAGCCCCAUCUCGUUCCAUUAGACCAGGCAGCUCCAAGCCCCGUCCAGCCGGCCUCGAGCACUGCCCGGGAUGGAACGCGCCGGAGCCCGCUCAGACCGGAGCGAUGCUCCGCG
rnacentral:lncRNA from 1 species